CUAUGUGUUGUUGGGUAGGGGAGCGUUCUGUAAGCCUGUGAAGGUGGCCUGUGAGGGUUGCUGGAGGUAUCAGAAGUGCGAAUGCUGACAUAAGUAACGAUAAAGCGGGUGAAAAGCCCGCUCGCCGGAAGACCAAGGGUUCCUGUCCAACGUUAAUCGGGGCAGGGUGAGUCGACCCCUAAGGCGAGGCCGAAAGGCGUAGUCGAUGGGAAACAGGUUAAUAUUCCUGUACUUGGUGUUACUGCGAAGGGGGGACGGAGAAGGCUAUGUUGGCCGGGCGACGGUUGUCCCGGUUUAAGCGUGUAGGCUGGUUUUCCAGGCAAAUCCGGAAAACCAAGGCUGAGGCGUGAUGACGAGGCACUACGGUGCUGAAGCGACAAAUGCCCUGCUUCCAGGAAAAGCCUCUAAGCAUCAGGUAACAUCAAAUCGUACCCCAAACCGACACAGGUGGUCAGGUAGAGAAUACCAAGGCGCUUGAGAGAACUCGGGUGAAGGAACUAGGCAAAAUGGUGCCGUAACUUCGGGAGAAGGCACGCUGAUAUGUAGGUGAAGCGACUUGCUCGUGGAGCUGAAAUCAGUCGAAGAUACCAGCUGGCUGCAACUGUUUAUUAAAAACACAGCACUGUGCAAACACGAAAGUGGACGUAUACGGUGUGACGUCUGCCCGGUGCCGGAAGGUUAAUUGAUGGGGUUAGCGGCAACGCGAAGCUCUUGAUCGAAGCCCCGGUAAACGGCGGCCGUAACUAUAACGGUCCUAAGGUAGCGAAAUUCCUUGUCGGGUAAGUUCCGACCUGCACGAAUGGCGUAAUGAUGGCCAGGCUGUCUCCACCCGAGACUCAGUGAAAUUGAACUCGCUGUGAAGAUGCAGUGUACCCGCGGCAAGACGGAAAGACCCCGUGAACCUUUACUAUAGCUUGACACUGAACAUUGAGCCUUGAUGUGUAGGAUAGGUGGGAGGCUUUGAAGUGUGGACGCCAGUCUGCAUGGAGCCGACCUUGAAAUACCACCCUUUAAUGUUUGAUGUUCUAACGUUGGCCCGUAAUCCGGGUUGCGGACAGUGUCUGGUGGGUAGUUUGACUGGGGCGGUCUCCUCCUAAAGAGUAACGGAGGAGCACGAAGGUUGGCUAAUCCUGGUCGGACAUCAGGAGGUUAGUGCAAUGGCAUAAGCCAGCUUGACUGCGAGCGUGACGGCGCGAGCAGGUGCGAAAGCAGGUCAUAGUGAUCCGGUGGUUCUGAAUGGAAGGGCCAUCGCUCAACGGAUAAAAGGUACUCCGGGGAUAACAGGCUGAUACCGCCCAAGAGUUCAUAUCGACGGCGGUGUUUGGCACCUCGAUGUCGGCUCAUCACAUCCUGGGGCUGAAGUAGGUCCCAAGGGUAUGGCUGUUCGCCAUUUAAAGUGGUACGCGAGCUGGGUUUAGAACGUCGUGAGACAGUUCGGUCCCUAUCUGCCGUGGGCGCUGGAGAACUGAGGGGGGCUGCUCCUAGUACGAGAGGACCGGAGUGGACGCAUCACUGGUGUUCGGGUUGUCAUGCCAAUGGCACUGCCCGGUAGCUAAAUGCGGAAGAGAUAAGUGCUGAAAGCAUCUAAGCACGAAACUUGCCCCGAGAUGAGUUCUCCCUGAGACUUAGAGUCUCCUGAAGGAACGUUGAAGACGACGACGUUGAUAGGCCGGGUGUGUAAGCGCAGCGAUGCGUUGAGCUAACCGGUACUAAUGAACCGUGAGGCUUAACCUU
rnacentral:rRNA from 1 species